GUGCAUGUCAACAAAAUAGUAUAAAAACCCUCUCUUUUUUGGAAAAGUUGCUUAUUUUCUUUCUACAGUAGGCAGUUCAUAAAACAAAAUGAAGGCAGUUUUGGCUCUGUUGGUUGUCCUCGGUCUUUCCUCCUGUGUUUUGGCCAGAGGUUAUGGAGGGGGUGCACAAUUCCAAACCUAUGCUGCGUACAGGCCUGCAGUAUACCAACCGGUUGGAUAUGCACAGACCUAUGCUCGACCUUAUACUGGAAAGGCGGUCGGCAUUUCUGGUGGUGGAGGGAGUGAAAUCAUCAUAAUUUGUAUCGUCAUUUUCGUCAUAAUCGCUGUAAUUGCACCAGUGCUUAUUGGCUCCCUGGUUUCCAGUAAUGAAGCUCUCUGGGACUCAAUUGGCAAGAAAUAAAAGAUAAAUAAAGGAAGGAAUCAUAGGAUAAGGGAUUUUCAUUGUAAUUUGUACUGCCUGUACCACAAUAAAUCAGUUUUGCAUUUAUAUUGUC